rnacentral:rRNA from 1 species
UACGAAGGGGGCUAGCGUUGUUCGGAAUCACUGGGCGUAAAGCGCACGUAGGCGGAUCUUUAAGUCAGGGGUGAAAUCCCGAGGCUCAACCUCGGAACUGCCUUUGAUACUGGGGAUCUCGAGUCCGGGAGAGGUGAGUGGAACUGCGAGUGUAGAGGUGAAAUUCGUAGAUAUUCGGAAGAACACCAGUGGCGAAGGCGACACACUGGCCCGUUACUGACGCUGAGGCGCGAAAGCGUGGGGAGCAAACAGG